GACGAACGCUGGCGGCGUGCUUAACACAUGCAAGUCGAACGGAAAGGCCCUGCUUUUGUGGGGUGCUCGAGUGGCGAACGGGUGAGUAACACGUGAGUAACCUGCCCUUGACUUUGGGAUAACUUCAGGAAACUGGGGCUAAUACCGGAUAGGAGCUCCUGCUGCAUGGUGUGGGUUGGAAAGUUUCGGCGGUUGGGUAUGGACUCGCGGCUUAUCAGCUUGUUGGUGGGGUAGUGGCUUACCAAGGCUUUGACGGGUAGCCGGCCUGAGAGGGUGACCGGCCAAAUUGGGACUGAGAUACGGCCCAGACUCCUACGGGAGGCAGCAGUGGGGAAUAGUGCACAAUGGGCGGAAGCCUGAUGCAGCAACGCCGCGUGCGGGAUGACGGCCUUCGGGUUGUAAACCGCUUUCGCCUGUGACGAAGCGUGAGUGACGGUAAUGGGUAAAGAAGCACCGGCUAACUACGUG
rnacentral:rRNA from 1 species